rnacentral:tRNA from 1 species
UGCCGGGUCAUCUAAUGGUAGGAUAGCGGACUCUGAAUCCGUUCAUCUUGGUUCAAAUCCAAGCCCGGCAGCCA